UACGUAGGGUCCGAGCGUUGUCCGGAAUUACUGGGCGUAAAGAGCUCGUAGGUGGUUUGUCGCGUUGUUCGUGAAAACUCACAGCUUAACUGUGGGCGUGCGGGCGAUACGGGCAGACUUGAGUACUGCAGGGGAGACUGGAAUUCCUGGUGUAGCGGUGGAAUGCGCAGAUAUCAGGAGGAACACCGGUGGCGAAGGCGGGUCUCUGGGUAGUAACUGACGCUGAGGAACGAAAGCGUGGGUAGCGAACAGG
rnacentral:rRNA from 1 species